GGCUGGGAGCCUCACCACCACUAGUGUCCAAUCAUAGCACAGGCAAAAACUGGAGCCCAGUUAAAUUCCGUUGUUUUCUCAAAAAACAGAUGAGCAUUUGGACCUGAGACAUCCACAUUCAGGGAGUGAACUCUUCCUGGCUGCAGGAACAAGAAUGUAUGAUUCUGUGCGCAGUGAGAAAUGCUGCACAUGGAUUCAGUUCAAAUAGGUAGGUAGAAGAUCUCCUAUCAGCAAUCUUGCAUGGAGCCUGCAGGAAGGCAGCUGCUGCAGCCA
rnacentral:lncRNA from 1 species